rnacentral:rRNA from 1 species
CACGUAGGGCGCAAGCGUUGCCCGGAAUUAUUGGGCGUAAAGAGCUCGUAGGCGGUCUGUUGCGUCUGCUGUGAAAACUCGGGGCUUAACCCCGAGCCUGCAGUGGAUACGGGCAGACUAGAGGUAGGUAGGGGAGAAUGGAAUUCCCGGUGUAGCGGUGAAAUGCGCAGAUAUCGGGAGGAACACCGGUGGCGAAGGCGGUUCUCUGGGCCUUACCUGACGCUGAGGAGCGAAAGCGUGGGGAGCGAACAGG